rnacentral:rRNA from 1 species
UUGCCUACGGGAGGCAGCAGUGGGGAAUAUUGGGCAAUGGACGCAAGUCUGACCCAGCAACGCCGCGUGAAGGAAGAAGGCUUUCGGGUUGUAAACUUCUUUUAAGGGGGAAGAGCAGAAGACGGUACCUGACUAAGAAGCCCCGGCUAACUACGUGCCAGCAGCCGCGGUAAUACGUAGGGGGCGAGCGUUAUCCGGAUUCACUGGGUGUAAAGGGAGCGUAGACGGCCAAGCAAGCCAGGGGUGAAAGCCCGGGGCCCAACCCCGGGACUGCCCUUGGAACUGCUUGGCUGGAGUGCGGGAGG